rnacentral:lncRNA from 1 species
CCCGUGUCGACUCGCCUGCCUGCGCCACUCGCGCCCGCGCCCGCGCGCUGGCGCCUGCUCGCCCCCGCUCGCGCAAAACGCGGAGGCUCCUGCCGUACCUUCUUAGGAUUCCCAAACCGCGCUCAAAAGCACCCUCCAGUAUUUAUCAUAGGCAAAGCAGAAAAGAGGGCGAGCGACGUAAAGCAGAAAAAAGAGCAAGAGAGAGCCGCCGACCACCACGCCUCACGCGAGGUGGGCUGUGAUCGCGUUAAUUAAUACUCUAUAGUAAUAAUAAUAAUAAUAUUUAAUAUUUAAUACAUGCUGACCUCCGACCGUAGGAAGAAGCCACGCCGGGCCGUACAGCCGAGAACGUGCGGUGGAGGAAAAGUCGCGGCCCACACGACCGACGGCACAACGCCACCUCCCAGACGGGACGGCGGACGGGACAGGCAACAGGGCGAGAGAAGGCGGAGAG